rnacentral:rRNA from 1 species
GACGAACGCUGGCGGCGCGCCUAACACAUGCAAGUCGAACGGGGUCACGAGGAGCUUGCUUUUCUUGACUUAGUGGCGAACGGGUGAGUAACGCGUGAGUAACCUGCCCUGGAGUGGGGGACAACAGUUGGAAACGACUGCUAAUACCGCAUAAGCCCACGGAUCUGCAUGGAUCUGCGGGAAAAGGAUUUAUUCGCUCUAGGAUGGACUCGCGUCCAAUUAGCUAGUUGGUGAGGUAACGGCCCACCAAGGCGACGAUUGGUAGCCGGACUGAGAGGUUGAACGGCCAUAUUGGGACUGAGACACGGCCCAGACUCCUACGGGAGGCAGCAGUGGGGGAUAUUGCACAAUGGGGGAAACCCUGAUGCAGCGACGCCGCGUGGAGGAAGAAGGUUUUCGGAUUGCAAACUCCUGUCGUUAGGGACGAUAAUGACGGUACCUAACAAGAAAGCACCAGCUAACUACGUG